UACGUAGGGGGCAAGCGUUGUCCGGAAUCAUUGGGCGUAAAGCGCGUGUAGGCGGCUUGGUAAGUCCGCUCUGAAAGCCCGGGGCUCAACCCCGGGAGGCGGGUGGAUACUGUCAAGCUCGAGUCCGGAAGAGGCGAGUGGAAUUCCUGGUGUAGCGGUGAAAUGCGUAGAUAUUGGGAGGAACACCAGUGGCGAAGGCGGCUCACUGGACCGGUACUGACGCUGAUGCGCGAAAGCGUGGGGAGCAAACGGG
rnacentral:rRNA from 1 species